AGCAGCCGCGGUAAUUCCAGCUCCAAUAGCGUAUAUUAAAGUUGUUGCAGUUACAAAGGCUCGUAGUUCAGAAUACUCGGGAGGUACAUACGUUGGUCGGGCUUUUUUGGUCUGUACUUAUGUAAUGGAUUCCUACCUUCUGAAUAACCGGCAUGUCAUUAAUUUGGUGCGCCGGGGAAGCAGGACUGUUACCUUGAAAAAAUUAGAGUGCUUAAAGCAGGCUAUCGCCUGAAUACAUUAGCAUGGAAUAAUGAAAUAGGACGGCAUGGUUCUAUUUUGUUGGUUUCUAGGAUCACCGUAAUGAUUAAUAGGGAUAGUUGGGGGCAUUAGUAUUCAAUUGUCAGAGGUGAAAUUCUUGGAUUUAUUGAAGACUAACUUCUGCGAAAGCAUAUUGCCAAGGAUGUUUUCAUUAAUCAAGAACGAAAGUUAGGGGAUCGAAGUAUCGAUCAGAUACUCGUGCGUGAGUCUUAACCAUAAACUAUGCCGACUAGGGAUCGGAUGAUGUUAAUUUUUUAAUGACUCA
rnacentral:rRNA from 1 species